rnacentral:lncRNA from 1 species
ACUUACAAACAAUCUGUAAACAAGAUGACAAGCAGAAAACAGAACAUAGAACAGAGGCAAACUGUUAAAUGGAACUCUGCAAUUCUGCAACUAUGAACAGCUAACUGCAAGGCGUGAAAUUAACUAAUGACAUUUUUCGAAAAGGGGCGCUUUAUUAUUUAAAAGCUUUAAGCAUUACACCCGGCCUCUACAUAAUUAACAUGCACGCUGCCAAAUAAUGUCCUCUCAUGCAAACAAAAAUUGAAAAAAAAAGGCGAAAUACAAAGAGACAGUAGAGUCCAUAUAAUGCCUAGAGCGUAGGGGGCCAAUCCUAAGAUCAUGCUGCCACCCAUGUAUGGUAAAAGUAAACCUCGCCGUAGCCUCCAAUCGUGUACACACCUCCGUAAAUAGGUCUCGAUUCUCCUCGCGUUGUAGAGAUGACCAUAAACGAAGAGUCCCGGUACAUCUGUAGAUAACCUGCAUCAGAGAAGUAAUUUUACCAUUAAAAACCUUAUCAUUUCUACAUAGCCAAACCGACCAAAUAACGGCAAGCGCUCCCACCAUGAGAAGAGUUCUAAACCUGUGAUAGAACCCAUGUAACCAGUUGCUAAAUACAUUAGCAACACUACAAGGAGGAUACAAGCCAGAAGCUAUCUGGGUGACUGACCAUAUAGAACAAGCCAAUUUGCAUUGGAAGAAUAAAUGUUUUAUUGUCUCAUCAUGGUGACAAAAAACACACUGCGGACUUCCAUGCCAAUUAAUUAACUAAUGACAUGAAUCAAUGAGAAAAGGAGAGGCAGAAAUGCAGAACUUCACUUACGAAAUCAAACAAUGGCCAAGAGGCAAAUCUAGAUCAGAUUAAAAUACAUGGAUUUCUUACUAAGAAAUAAUAAAUCCACCAGGUUGAAAGAGGAACAGUUCUCCAAAAAAAAAUCAAAAUCAAAGAGUAAGCCAAGUUUGAGGCUACAUGGCUUUCUUAGUGGAAGGGGAGCAUCAGUUCACUGUGCUGGCUCAUCACUGAACAAGGGGAAAAAUGGAACUGACAACACAUAAUUCGUUCAGCCAUGAUUUGGAAAAAUAUAAUUAGAUGAGAUCAUUCAACCAUGUCAUCCAGGCUGGCAAGAAGUUCGGCUACUUACAGGUACAUGCACGCACUUUGUUUUGUCAGACAUGCUCCGGCUCACCGCUGAGGGGGUGACCCAGAUAAAUCGUGAACUACUACCCACCAUGCCCAGACCCGACCGUCACCGUCACGCUUGGCUUCUUCCCACACUGCGACCCCCACCUCCUCACCAUGCUCUCCCAAUCCCAGGGUGACAGAAGGUGGCUCAUAGUCCCACAGUACCCGAUACAUUUGUCAUCAACUUGGGCACCAGACGGAGUCAUUGAGAGCAAUGGGGUGCUGAGCGAGGGUCGAGCACAGCACCAUGUGGUCACCAACUCCAUAGCAGCAAGGUUGUUGGUGGCACCCUCGUCAUGCCCAAGAUGGAGUGCCGCAUAGGCCCGACACCGAAGACGGUGCACGAGGCAAGGAAUCCGGCCAAGUACCGGGAGUUCAUGGAGGCAUACCAUGCCGCUGAAAACAGCAGGGAGAGAGCCCUCGAGUCCUUCAAGAUCCACCACUAUCUCUAUUUCUAUGAGUUUGGGUUGUCUGUUGCCUCCCCUCCAUAGCUGUAAUUUCCUCUCCUUCCCAUCUUAUUUCUCCUUCAGUUUUGAUCGCCUAGGUUCUGCUUUUGCUAAGACCUGCAAUCAUUCAUUGAAUUUGUCUUGCCACAUUUUUUCGUAUUUUCCACUUUGUUAUUUCAUAUAACAUAUUAAUGGUCACAAUUCAUAGUCGCAGUCUUGCAAAAGUAAUAUAUAAAUGGAAGGAGCUGAAGAUUACACUAUUAACUGCAACAGAAUAGAAGGAACUGGAUUUAUAUGUCAGAUAGUGAAUGUGGAUGCUGAUUAAAAUUGUUGUAGAUGAAAGUUAGAAACUAUGUGAACAUAAACUGCUGUGACACAGCACAAUGCUGGUUUCCAAGGGGUCACCUCACAGCAACCAGACAGAAGGGACCCCUUGUUUUCUCCAUAACAGCAGUAAGACUACACAGAACUUAGUGUCUCUACUUACUAUUUAUUGGAUAGUAGUAUCUUACAGCAAAACAAAAUGCUAAGUUUUAAAUCAUAUCUUUGGAUUUCGAGAAUCACCCCAAUAGACUGUAUGCUGAGUAACUGUGAUGAGGGAAUGCACUGCAUAGAGAAGCAGAUCUCAGCAGAUAAACAAAAAAAAUAUUGCAGUGUUACACAGAAAGAGAAGGCAGUCGCAUCUGGAAUAAUAGAUAAUACAGUGUAUAAGGCAGAUCUCUGUGUGAUAGAGGCCAUAAAUAUAAAAAUACCAGUAAAGUGUUCUUGUGAGUCUACAGUGUGAAACAGGGCCUUACAGAUGAGAGUUGAUCCCUGGCUAUUGUUGGCACUAUUUGAUAACAUAAAGUCGGUAAUGAAAAUACUACUUGGAGGUGCAGGGCAUAAGAAACAUGAUGGCACAUUGAGACUGUUUAUACCUGGAAAAUUUUCCAGCAGGUGUGUGCAGAGGCAUGGAUUCGACAGCUCCACCAGUUGAAUCUUAAUCAGACGACAAAGAGUAUUGACCUGGCG